rnacentral:rRNA from 1 species
CAGCCGCCGCGGUAAUACAGAGGGUGCGAGCGUUAAUCGGAUUUACUGGGCGUAAAGCGUGCGUAGGCGGCUUCUUAAGUCGGAUGUGAAAUCCCUGAGCUUAACUUAGGAAUUGCAUUCGAUACUGGGAAGCUAGAGUAUGGGAGAGGAUGGUAGAAUUCCAGGUGUAGCGGUGAAAUGCGUAGAGAUCUGGAGGAAUACCGAUGGCGAAGGCAGCCAUCUGGCCUAAUACUGACGCUGAGGUACGAAAGCAUGGGGAGCAAACAGGAUUAGUACCCCAGUAGUCCCUGUCUCUUAUACC